rnacentral:rRNA from 1 species
AGAGUUUGAUCAUGGCUCAGAUUGAACGCUGGCGGCAGGCCUAACACAUGCAAGUCGAGCGGAUGAAGGGAGCUUGCUCCUGGAUUCAGCGGCGGACGGGUGAGUAAUGCCUAGGAAUCUGCCUGGUAGUGGGGGAUAACGUCCGGAAACGGGCGCUAAUACCGCAUACGUCCUGAGGGAGAAAGUGGGGGAUCUUCGGACCUCACGCUAUCAGAUGAGCCUAGGUCGGAUUAGCUAGUUGGUGGGGUAAAGGCCUACCAAGGCGACGAUCCGUAACUGGUCUGAGAGGAUGAUCAGUCACACUGGAACUGAGACACGGUCCAGACUCCUACGGGAGGCAGCAGUGGGGAAUAUUGGACAAUGGGCGAAAGCCUGAUCCAGCCAUGCCGCGUGUAUGAAGAAGGUCUUCGGAUUGUAAAGCACUUUAAGUUGGGAGGAAGGGCAGUAAGUUAAUACCUUGCUGUUUUGACGUUACCAACAGAAUAAGCACCGGCUAACUUCGUGCCAGCAGCCGCGGUAAUACGAAGGGUGCAAGCGUUAAUCGGAAUUACUGGGCGUAAAGCGCGCGUAGGUGGUUCAGCAAGUUGGAUGUGAAAUCCCCGGGCUCAACCUGGGAACUGCAUCCAAAACUACUGAGCUAGAGUACGGUAGAGGGUGGUGGAAUUUCCUGUGUAGCGGUGAAAUGCGUAGAUAUAGGAAGGAACACCAGUGGCGAAGGCGACCACCUGGACUGAUACUGACACUGAGGUGCGAAAGCGUGGGGGAGCAAACAGGAUUAGAUACCCUGGUAGUCCACGCCG